AUAGUAGAACGGUUUGUCGCCUCGAAUAUUUUUGGGGAGGAAAGUCCGGGCAACAUAGAGCAGCAUACUUCCUAACAGGAAGUCGGUCGUGAGAUCGAAUUAGCGUAACAGAAAAUAACCGCCUGCUAUAGAGGUAAGGGUGAAAAGGCAGGGUAAGAGCCUACCGAUUGUUUGGUAACAAACAAUGCCGUACGCAUUAUGUGUUGAAAGUUCAAGUAUACCGACGUUAUAGGGUUGCUCGCCCGAGUCGGAGGGUAGAACGAUAGAGACAGUCAGCGAUGCCUGUCCAAGAUAAAUGACAAACGCCCUUGUGUAAGGGUACAGAAUCCGGCUUAUAGUUCUACUAUUUUU
rfam:Porphyromonadaceae COT-184_OH4590 strain COT-184_OH4590 contig_30, whole genome shotgun sequence.